rnacentral:rRNA from 1 species
CCUACGGGUGGCAGCAGUGAGGAAUAUUGGUCAAUGGACGAGAGUCUGAACCAGCCACGUAGCGUGAAGGAUGACUGCCCUAUGGGUUGUAAACUUCUUUUAUAUGGGAAUAAAAUGUUCCACGUGUGGGAUUUUGUAUGUACCAUAUGUAUACGGAUCGGCUCACUCCGUGCCAGCAGCCGCGGUAAUACGGUGGAUCCGAGCGUUAUCCGGAUUUAUUGGGUUUAAAGGGAGCGUAGGUGGAUUGUUAAGUCCGUUGUGAAAGUUUGCGGCUCAACCGUAAAAUUGCAGUUGAUACUGGCAGUCUUGAGUACAGUAGAGGUGGGCGGAAUUCGUGGUGUAGCGGUGAAAUGCUGAGAUAUCACGAAGAACUCCGAUUGCGAAGGCAGUUCACUGGACUGCAACUGACACUGAGGCUCGAAAGUGUGGGUAUCAAACAGGAUUAGAUACCCUUGUAGUC